rnacentral:lncRNA from 12 species
CCCAGAGCGAUGCUUGCCCCUGGCAGUUUCAUUCCUUGAAAUAUCUGCUGAGCCCCAGCCUCGUGCUGAGAAUCGAGACAAGGUCAGGACGUGACAGACAUUCACUGCCUCCGUGGAGGUGGCAGUUGAGGGAGUGAGACCGGACAAAGAGAAGGGGGUUCCAGGACGCCACCGGCAAGCACGCAAGAGGCCCCACCUGGGAUGGAGGGCUUCACGGAGGAAGUCCAGGACGCUGAGUGGCUCCCACAGCUGGCGACUCGGCAGGAGGGUUCCCGGAGGGGACGAGAGCACACACGCCGCACGAGGGGGCACGGGGAGCACAGCGUAUCUGCAGCGGGGAGCUUUGGAGGAGGCACAUCUUGAGGACCUGUUUGGUUUUUUGUUUUUUUUUUAAGAUUUUAUUUAUUCGUGAGAGACACACAGAGAGAGGCAGAGACGCAGGCAGAGGGAGAAGCAGGCUCCAUGCGGGGAGCCCGACGCGGACUCGAUCCCAGGACCCCGGGGUCACACCCUGAGCCGAGGCAGGAGCUCGACCACGGACCCCGGGCGCCCCGAUCCUGAGGGUCGGGCACAUCCAAACCACAGCCAUUACUCAGGGCCGCGCAGAGGCCUUUUCUGGAGUUACGAAGGAACGUGAAGCGGAGCAGCUGCGGGGGAUCCGUCUAGUGUUUUCCUCGAUAAGUUCAGCCUGAAGUCACCACACAACCCGCGUCCCCCUCCCGGGGACCGAGCCCGAGGAGCCAGACACAGGUGCUCAAGGGUGUGCGCGCAAACGCUCCCAGCGGCGACAAGUGCCAAGAGAUGGCCCGAGUGUCACCGCGGGUGGGUGGGCGGAUGGCCGAGGCCUGGAGACGGCCCGUCGCUGAGCUGCGGAGAGGGGGCCCGGGGGAGAGCCGGGAGGGCCCGAGCCGGCAGCAGGGGAGCCACCCCGACCGAGCCCAUCGGGGCCAGCAGGCCAGGCACCCUGGAAAGCGCUUUCCACCAGCGAGCGUCCAGGACUCUCAGGGAGCCCAGCGGGAAAGGGUAUGACCUUUCAUCAGCUGAGGAAACAGGGAGGUUCAGGCAGCCCAAGAGGAGACGUGGAUUUGAACCUACUUCUGACUCCAAAGCUCAUCAGCUCCUUGCUCUCCUGAAGAGAAGACAGUCCCCUCCCAUAGGUGUCAACAGCAGGGAGAAGAAGCCCUAUUCAAGCAUGAGGUUCCAGAGUGUCCACAGUCCUCGCAGAAUCGCGUUAACUCAAUAGCAGACUGGCAGCGUAGACGGCAUUCUAAACCAGAGUUCCAAAGAAAACCAUUCUGUACGCCAGCUGUUGGAGUUCCUGAUGAGAUCUACAGUUAGCCCCAAAAGUCGUGGAACACCCUGGCUUUGGUGAUUGAGCAUGAUUCAAUCCCUUUAGUUAAUACUGGAAGACUACAUUAGAAAUAAGCUUUUCCUAUGCAGCAGGGAUGAGGGGCGGGGAGCACACUUUCUCUGCAAACAAGUGGUUGGUUCUACAUCUGAUUUAAGAACAACAAAAGAAAGAGGACUUCCAAGAGGUAUCUGUCAAGGGUCAAAGAAGUCUAGAAAACAAUCUAAUCUUGCACUCAACGGAGCUCAUCUGAACGAGCAGUCCUACGCAGACGUGGGUAACUACGGGGUGGGUGGCUUUGCAGUGCCCACCUGAACUAAGCAUCUCUGAAGAAACUCAACAUUUUUUUUUAAAGAUUUAUUUAUUUAUUCAUGAUAGACAUAGAGAGAGAGAGAGAGAGAGAGGCAGAGACACAGGCAGAGGGAGAAGCAGGCUCCACGCAGGGAGCCCGACGCGGAACUCGAUCCCGGGACCCCAGCAUCGCGCCCUGGGCCAAAGGCAAGCACCAAACAGCUGAGCCACCCAGGGACCCCCGAAACUCAACAUUUGUAUAGAGAGCACUGUUUCCUUUCCAACUUCUUCAUCUUGGGCCAAGCUCUGAGGCCUGUGGCUUGGGAUACGACACCUGUUAAGCCUGGCCAAAGAGCAGGCCUCCCCCGCCCCAGAGGCCCUUGCCCAGCUUGGGUGGCUUUGCGGUGAGGAGGUAAAAAAAUCACAGGGACCACUUUCACACUGCGUCUUGAUUGCAUUGUUGGUUUUCGUUGCCCACGGUGGAAGUUUAGCAAUGAUUUUCAUGCUUCGGGAGAAAACAAUGCUGAGUAAGAAAGCAAGUUUUCAAUUAUUGCUUUGUCACCAGGAGAUCCUGUGUCCCACACUCCUCUAGGCGGGAAGGAGCACGUGUAAUUACCAGACGCAUGUCUGUCCCCGGAGAAGUCUGGCGAGGGCCACCCGGAUGGGCGCGGCUGAAGCAGCACACACGCUCUGCGUUUCCCCACCGCCUGCAUGUAAACCCUCGGAGGGCCCUGCGUUAAAUACCGACGAGGAUGUUCUCUGCUGCCACCUGACCAACCGGGGAAGUGCGGUGACGGAGUAGGUGUCCAACAAAUAUUUGCAGAACGCGCUCUUAACAGCUUAUUUGUCUGCAGUCAUUUGCAACAAAAAUAUAAUGUCACAGUUCUGCGUUACUCUACCGGUUACAGCAAUAGGGCAAAAUGGGUAUGAGCACCGAACUCUGGAAUCAAACUACCUGGGCUCAAAGACAUCUAUUGUUGGCCAGAACAUUCCUCGAGCCGUGCAGAAGUGUCAACAGUAGAUGGUGAAAAAUCCGCAAAGGGAAGGUUAAUGCGAAGGACUGAAAUGAAGGCAUGUGUUUGCAUCGUCUGCCCAAGUUUUAGCUUUCUUACCCCAAGAUCCCGUCUUCCAGAAUUCUCCUACAUCUCUACUAAUGUAGAGCAAAUUCAUACCUGCGAUAUCCAUUACGGUAUUGUUUAAAUAACAAAAGCCAGGGAAUGACAGAAAUGUCCCCCAGUGGGCAAGGCCCAGGCCUGACCCCUAGGACACGCAGCUGUUGCAAACAACGGGGCCACGCUCUACGUGUGCUGUGGAACCGCCAGCAACAUUCAUUCCACUGGCCAGAGAAAGUUCCAUGAUAUUGCUAAAUAAAAGUAAAAAUUCAAGAAGCUGUUGAUGAAGA